rnacentral:rRNA from 1 species
CAGUAGCCGCGGUAAUACGGAGGGGGCUAGCGUUGUUCGGAAUUACUGGGCGUAAAGCGAGCGCAGGCGGUUAGAUAAGUCUGAAGUUAAAGGCUGUGGCUUAACCAUAGUACGCUUUGGAAACUGUUUAACUUGAGUGCAAGAGGGGAGAGUGGAAUUCCAUGUGUAGCGGUGAAAUGCGUAGAUAUAUGGAGGAACACCGGUGGCGAAAGCGGCUCUCUGGCUUGUAACUGACGCUGAGGCUCGAAAGCGUGGGGAGCAAACAGGAUUAGAUACCCCUGUAGUCCCUGUCCUUAUACAC